AAGUUUGGGAAACACUGAAUACUUCUUGCCCACCGUCUUAGAAAUAAGCAAUGACAGUAGCAUAUUACUGGGGCCAGAAGCUCUACAGCAAAGGGCCUGCUUGACUUUGAUUACCUCAAUAACCCUAAACUUACCUUUACUAUGGUACUUCACCUUCCUUUUCUGUUUGCACAAAAUGCCUGACUCUUGAGACAUUCUCAAUUUUGAAGGUCAUAUUUUCAGAAACACUAGCUUGGAAUGGUUCACUGUUUUGAUGCCAUGGUGAACGAGGUAGAGGGAGAAAACUUAUCUAUGUCAUCAUAAAGAUCUAGGGUCAAAUUCCCCAGAUGUCACCGGUACCCUCACUGGUGAUGGCCUAGUCAGGCCCAGAGAAGGGACAUGGCUUGGCCAACAUCAAGAUGUGACCUAGAGGGAGUCUUAAGGCUAUUUCAUAGGAUUUCUAGGCCAAAGUUCUUUCACCUUGCUCCUUUCCUCUCCCUUCUUAUCAAAUACAGUUCUGUCCAAAGGGACCUUGGUGGGAGCAGAGAGCCCAGACCACUCAGGUGAACAUGGAAGAAUGGAAGGAACAUCUGCAACACAGAGAUGGCAUGCACUGGACACAAAGUGGAGAGAGGAAUCUAAGCGCCUGGACCGGUAAACUCAUCUCUAGAGAGAGCCGGGAUGGGCGUGAAGAGUCCGAAAGUUCCCCCAGUGUGGCUACUGGAGCCAGGCGGAGACCAAGAAGGAGCAAUCGGGCAGGCAGAGGAAGGAAAGUCCGUCUUGCAGGCCGAUGGGCGCUCUCAUGUCUACAGCUGCAGGGAAACCAGAUUCGGCCUCUCCUGCCACCCUCGUACCUUAAUCUUCACUCUCCUGGAUCCUCUCUCUCCUAUUUAUUCCAUCUGUUUUCUCUUUCCCAGUCUGUGCCUCUCUCCUUGGGCUCUGUCUCUGGGCCCUGUCUCUGGGCCUCCCCCUGCACCCUCCCUGCUCAGCCCUGUCAGCCAGGCCCAGGCCCCCAGGACGCGGGAUCCCCAGCAGCCACCGGCACGUGCCAAUCUUCGCCCUGGCGGAGGCGUCUCCAUGGGCCGCGGGCCCCGUGGCGCGCCUCCUGCCCGCGUAAUGCGCUCUAAUAUUUAUUUACAUGCCUUUCAGACUAUUAUUUAUUAAAGUAUCGCUGCCAACUGUGCGCUGGCUAAUUGCUCUUAAUGUGCCCCCUCCCGGUUCCCACGGC
rnacentral:lncRNA from 1 species